GACGAACGCUGGCGGCGUGCCUAAUACAUGCAAGUAGAACGCUGAAGGAGGAGCUUGCUCUUCUGGAUGAGUUGCGAACGGGUGAGUAACGCGUAGGUAACCUGCCUGGUAGCGGCGGAUAACUAUUGGAAACGAUAGCUAAUACCGCAUAAGAGUAGAUGUUGCAUGACAUUUGCUUAAAAGGUGCAAUUGCAUCACUACCAGAUGGACCUGCGUUGUAUUAGCUAGUUGGUGGGGUAACGGCUCACCAAGGCGACGAUACAUAGCCGACCUGAGAGGGUGAUCGGCCACACUGGGACUGAGACACGGCCCAGACUCCUACGGGAGGCAGCAGUAGGGAAUCUUCGGCAAUGGACGGAAGUCUGACCGAGCAACGCCGCGUGAGUAAAGAAGGUUUUCGGAUCGUAAAGCUCUGUUGUAAGAGAAGAACGAGUGUGAGAGUGGAAAGUUCACACUGUGACGGUAGCUUACCAGAAAGGGACGGCUAACUACGUG
rnacentral:rRNA from 1 species